ACUGGGCGUAAAGCGCAUGCAGGUGGUUUGUUAAGUCAGAUGUGAAAGCCCGGGGCUCAACCUCGGAAUUGCAUUUUGAAACUGGCAAACUAGAGUACUGUAGAGGGGGUAGAAUUUCAGGUGUAGCGGUGAAAUGCGUAGAGAUCUGAAGGAAUACCGGUGGCGAAGGCGGCCCCCUGGACAGAUACUGACACUCAGACUGCGAAAGCGUGGGGAGCCAAACAGGAUUAGAUACCCUGGUAG
rnacentral:rRNA from 1 species